rnacentral:rRNA from 1 species
UACGUAGGGGGCGAGCGUUGUCCGGAUUCAUUGGGCGUAAAGAGCUCGUAGGCGGCUUGUCAAGUCGGGUGUGAAACCUCCAGGCUCAACCUGGAGACGCCACUCGAGACUGUCAUGGCUAGAGUCCGGUAGGGGAUCACGGAAUUCCUGGUGUAGCGGUGAAAUGCGCAGAUAUCAGGAAGAACACCCGUGGCUAAGGCGGUUCUCUAGUACGGUACUGACGCUGAGACGCGAAAGCGUGGGGAGCGAACAGG